rnacentral:hammerhead_ribozyme from 1 species
AUCCAGCUGACAAGUCCCGAAUAGGAUGAAACGCACGUCCUGGAU